rnacentral:rRNA from 1 species
GGAAUCUUCCACAAUGGGCGAAAGCCUGAUGGAGCAACGCCGCGUGUGUGAUGAAGGCUUUCGGGUCGUAAAGCACUGUUGUAUGGGAAGAACAGCUAGAAUAGGGAAUGAUUUUAGUUUGACGGUACCAUACCAGAAAGGGACGGCUAAAUACGUGCCAGCAGCCGCGGUAAUACGUAUGUCCCGAGCGUUAUCCGGAUUUAUUGGGCGUAAAGCGAGCGCAGGUGGUUUAUUAAGUCUGGUGUAAAAGGCAGUGGCUCAACCAUUGUAUGCAUUGGAAACUGGUUAACUUGAGUGCAGUAGAGGUAAGUGGAACUCCAUGUGUAGCGGUGGAAUGCGUAGAUAUAUGGAAGAACACCAGUGGCGAAGGCGGCUUACUGGACUGUAACUGACGUUGAGGCUCGAAAGUGUGGGUAGCAAACA